UACGUAGGGGGCUAGCGUUGUCCGGAAUCAUUGGGCGUAAAGCGCGUGUAGGCGGUUCGGUAAGUCCGCUGUGAAAGUCGAGGGCUCAACCCUCGAAAGCCGGUGGAUACUGUCGGGCUAGAGUGCGGAAGAGGCGAGUGGAAUUCCUGGUGUAGCGGUGAAAUGCGCAGAUAUCAGGAGGAACACCGGUGGCGAAGGCGGGAUCCUGGGCCAGUACUGACGCUGAGGAGCGAAAGCGUGGGGAGCAAACAGG
rnacentral:rRNA from 1 species